rfam:Octopus bimaculoides Scaffold151494_contig_21, whole genome shotgun sequence.
AUACUAGCUACGGUGGUACAUAUUCUAAAAUCGGAAAGAUACAGAGAAGAUCAGCAUGGCCCCUGCGCAGGGAUGACUCGUAAAUUUGUGAAGCGUUCCUUAUUUUU